rnacentral:rRNA from 1 species
UUUCCAGACUCCUACGGGAGGCAGCAGUGAGGAAUAUUGGUCAAUGGGCUUACGCCUGAACCAGCCAAGUCGCGUGAGGGAAGACUGCCCUAUGGGUUGUAAACCUCUUUUGUCAGGGAGCAAUUGGCGCUACGUGUAGCGUUAUCGAGAGUACCUGAAGAAAAAGCAUCGGCUAACUCCGUGCCAGCAGCCGCGGUAAUACGGAGGAUGCGAGCGUUAUCCGGAUUUAUUGGGUUUAAAGGGUGCGCAGGCGGAGGUGCAAGUCAGCGGUCAAAUUGCGGGGCUCAACCCCGUACUGCCGUUGAAACUGCAUCCCUUGAGUGCGCGAGAAGUAUGCGGAAUGCGUGGUGUAGCGGUGAAAUGCAUAGAUAUCGCGCAGAACUCCGAUUGCGAAGGCAGCAUGCCGGCUCCACACUGACGCUGAGGCACGAAAGCGUGGGUAUCGAACAGGAUUAGAUACCCCCGUAU